rnacentral:rRNA from 1 species
UACAGAGGGGGCAAGCGUUAUUCGGAAUUAUUGGGCGUAAAGCGCGCGUAGGCGGUUACUUAAGUCGGAUGUGAAAGCCCUCGGCUUAACUGAGGAAGUGCACCCGAAACUGAGUAGCUAGAGUACGAAAGAGGGUCGCGGAAUUCCCGGUGUAGAGGUGAAAUUCGUAGAUAUCAGGAGGAACACCGGUGGCGAAGGCGGUUCUCUGGGCAUUACCUGACGCUGAGGAGCGAAAGUGUGGGGAGCGAACAGG